AUGUACCUCAGAAGCAUUGAUGUUUCAGGAGGAACUGGAGCCCAGUCAGUGACUCAGCCUGAUGCCCAGGUGUUGGUCUCUGAAGGAGCCCAUCUGGAGCUGAAGUGCAACUAUUCCUCUAGUGGAACGACUUAUGUCUUCUGGUACGUGCAGUACCCCAACCAAGGACUCCAGCUUCUCCUCAAGUACAGAUCAGGGGACACCCUGGUUAAAGGCAUCAACAGUUUCGAGGCUGAAUUUAAGAAGAGUGAAACCUCUUUCCACCUGAAGAAAUCCCCAGCCCUUGGUAGUGACGCGGCCAAGUACUUCUGCGCUGUGAGUGACACGGUGCCUGGGUCCACAGGGGGAGCUGAACACAAACCUCCCGAGACAUUGGGACUUUUCAUGACUCAAGAACUCAAGAGAGAGUCUUCAGGAAGGUCUGUUUUUCUGUGAGGGCAAAGACUGCAGGACAGGCUGGGCUCUGGGGAGUGCUUGCCGCCUGAAUCGUUGCUUCAACAGCAAUGCUGUGCCACAUUCAGAUAGACUUUGUUCCAGAUGGAAGUCUUCUGAUGAAUUUCUCCAGGAGGGACGCCUCCCACUCAUU